UUAUAUUUACCAUUGACCCUUAAUGUUCUUUUACUCUUCUUUUUUAAAAAGUCUUGUUGAUAUUUCAAAUGUCAUGCCAAACCCGUCACCGGGUGACACUUCAUAACAACUUAACCUUUGCUCAUUGGUCGUUCCUGCAAUGGUGAUAUAAUACAAACCACCCCGCUUACUAAAUUAAAUUUUGUUGGAUUCGAGGCAUCGGCAUGACCAUUGAUCAAGUUGCAUCUCAUUUCUUCUCAAUGACAUCACAUUUGAAAUAUCCUCAAUAAGUUUCACCCUGAUGAUGGUUAUAAUCAUAACCGAAAGCUUGGAUUAAAGAAACUUGAAAGAGUACACUUUUCAUUUGCUGCAUAACCCAAUAUCCUAAAUUUCUUUAUAUAUAUAUAUAUAUAUAUAUA
rnacentral:lncRNA from 1 species